rnacentral:rRNA from 1 species
UACGUAGGGGGCAAGCGUUGUCCGGAAUCAUUGGGCGUAAAGAGCGUGUAGGCGGUUCGGUAAGUCGGCUGUGAAAGUCCAGGGCUCAACCCUGGGAUGCCGGUCGAUACUGCCGGACUAGAGUUCGGAAGAGGCGAGUGGAAUUCCCGGUGUAGCGGUGAAAUGCGCAGAUAUCGAGAGGAACACCUGCGGCGAAGGCGGGUUGCUGGGCUGAUACUGACGCUGAGGCGCGAAAGCCAGGGGAGCGAACGGG